AUUGAACGCUGGCGGCAUGCUUUACACAUGCAAGUCGAACGGUAACAGGCCUUCGGGUGCUGACGAGUGGCGAACGGGUGAGUAAUGCAUCGGAACGUACCCAGAGGUGGGGGAUAACGCAGCGAAAGCUGUGCUAAUACCGCAUGUGAUCUGAGGAUGAAAGCGGGGGACCGAGCAGCAAUGUUUGGCCUCGCGCCUUUGGAGCGGCCGAUGUCGGAUUAGCUAGUUGGUGGGGUAAAGGCCUACCAAGGCGACGAUCCGUAGCUGGUCUGAGAGGACGACCAGCCACACUGGGACUGAGACACGGCCCAGACUCCUACGGGAGGCAGCAGUGGGGAAUUUUGGACAAUGGGCGCAAGCCUGAUCCAGCAAUGCCGCGUGCGGGAAGAAGGCCUUCGGGUUGUAAACCGCUUUUGGCAGGAACGAAACGGUGUCCGCUAAUACCAGGCGCUAAUGACGGUACCUGCAGAAUAAGCACCGGCUAACUACGUG
rnacentral:rRNA from 1 species